GUCCAGACUCCUACGGGAGGCAGCAGUGAGGAAUAUUGGUCAAUGGGCGGAAGCCUGAACCAGCCAAGUCGCGUGAGGGAAGAAGGCCCUGCGGGUCGCAGACCUCUUUGGACGGGGAGCAAGGCCGCCGACGUGUCGGCGGAAGGAGAGUACCCGUAGAACAAGCAUCGGCUAACUCCGUGCCAGCAGCCGCGGUAAUACGUAGGUGGCGAGCGUUAUCCGGAAUGAUUGGGCGUAAAGGGUGCGCAGGCGGUCCUGCAAGUCUGGAGUGAAACGCAUGAGCUCAACUCAUGCAUGGCUUUGGAAACUGGAGGACUGGAGAGCAGGAGAGGGCGGUGGAACUCCAUGUGUAGCGGUAAAAUGCGUAGAUAUAUGGAAGAACACCAGUGGCGAAGGCGGCCGCCUGGCCUGUUGCUGACGCUGAGGCACGAAAGCGUGGGGAGCAAAUAGGAUUAGAUACCCUCGUAUAG
rnacentral:rRNA from 1 species